CCGCUGACAUGAAAAUGGAAGCUGUCUGGGACGAACGGCGAAUGAAGAUAGAGAGGUGAGUUUCAAAAAUAAUCCAUGUUAAUUUUUGCUGGUGGAAAUUCCGCCAUUAAUGUGAUCGGUCUGCGCUAAUCAUACGACCUUGCUUUCGACUCGAACGUCAUGUAUACAUAUCUCCAUUUUUAGCCUUGACAUACCGAAAAUGUGCGCUGGAGAACUAUCUAAUGUUAUGUGACAAAUUCGGAUCUCGUACGAGUUUCUCGAUUGCGCCAAAUGGUUCUGCGGCACAUGGACAAUAGAGGAUGUUCCCACAGGUGUAUGCAGUCCCUCAGUUCUGCAGUAAUUUGACAUUGGAAAAUUCUGCACAUAGAAAGCGGUAACUAAUCAGUCUGCAUAUUCCAAUCUGCGAAUUUAAAAGAGAAAAAUCUUCUUUAAUGGCCUUCAUGUUCUUCAUUCAGAUUAUCGAAAAUAUUUGAUCCGGAAUUGUCGUUUGCAUAUCACUAACAAGUUUGUUAUUUAGUAAAUUAGGAUUCGAGAGGUGGAUAGGCAUAUACAUCUCCAAAAUUAACUCGAAACUUCCCGUUGACCCUUACGGUAGUUUGCAACCUACCGUUAUAGAAACUGCAAUAAAUUUCGGUCGUGCUUCUUCCUGGAUUACCUAAUUUACUAGUUAAUAUAUAAUUUUCGUAGGCCAAAAACACGAUUUUUUAUUAUUUUUUUUUAAGAAACUUUCCAUCUUUUCUACGUUUUCCUCGUAUAGAAUACUUAUCACGUUCAAUUAAGAGCGCGCCCGUGACGUAUUUCCUGUUUACUAAGUUCUAGCUUCCACGUGUGCGAGUAAAGAUACUGUAACGGCACUGACGUUUGCCGCUAAAAUAGACGAAGAUGGAGACAUUCGGUAGAGAUACGGGAGUAGAAGUUUAAAAAUGUGACGAACUUCGUUAAUUUUUUUUUUUUUUUCUUUUUACGAUCGAUAGUAAUCCCGCGGAAAGAAAAAUAUUUUUCUAUCUGGCAAACGAAAACGAGGUCAAGAAACGCUAGAGUGAAACAGGAGCAGUGUCGACGUCAUCCAGUACGAAAGCGAGGCCACUAUACCGGAAGUAGAAGCUGGUAUCGAUGGUAGAUGGGGCGUUGACACAGUAACGAUCGGCCAAAAGUUGUUCACCCUAAAGUUGUGUCGGGAAAGAAGCGGCCCGCCCGCUUAGUAUUGGCAUCUGUGUUACGGUGUCAGUGGUCCAAAACCCCCGUGCAACACGUGACCACCUUAUCGUGGCGGUUUGGCACGCGUCGUUUCGGUCUGAGCCGCCGCGCCGCCGGCAUGGCGGAGACGUUGGCAGUUGGGUUGAAUGGUGAUGUAGGUCUACCGGUCGCGGACCUUGAUGGCGACGACCUCCAUCCACCCAUGGCAGGUGGACUGUACGCCGAACGGUAACGUCACGAUAACAGACGUUAUUUCUUUAUAACGUUUUUCUUGCCUACAACGCACUCCAUCUUAAUAAGGUUGAUCCCUGUGACAUUUAAAACUGUUCGAUACGUGUUUUAAAACUGAAUUAUUCGGGUUUCUCAUUCGAUUUAACUCGUCGGACGAUGUUAACAGAAAUCACGAAUUGUCUGACCUAGGUCAUCAAGUACUCUCAACCAACUUUUUUAUCAGGCUUUCCUUGCGUUACCAGAGGUUAAUCACACCCGUCGUUUCUGACGUGGCCGUUUAUUAUCCUCGGGGUUGUUGACAAGUUUCAACAUCACGUGGUAUAACGGAUGUCACGGGAAACCGAACGAUGGCUGCUAAAAUCUUGUACAACUUCCAUUUCGAAAUACUGUGCAUAUUAUUAUUAUUAUAGUUAAAUUCGUCGAAUGACGUCAGACGUAUUGACACAAUACUCGAAGAUUGCGUAAAAACUCGUCUCGCGUAUUAGUCAAACAGCAACCGGUCACGAAUCGAAAAUGUCACUUCCUCAGAAAAGAGGAAGUGCAUCGUCAUCAUCGUCAAUAUAUAUAUAUAUAUAUAGACUGGUACUUCGAAUCCUUAAGAAUCGUUUUAUGCUUUGAUUUCGAAAACUGGAAAAAAAAAAAAAAAUAAAGGACCAGAAUUAUAAAAAUUAAAAAUUAUAAUCCUUAAGAAUGUUUUAUGAGGUUGAUUUCUAUCGAAAACGCGAACUGUCGUCACAGAAAUGCUGCUUUUAAUGUAUUCAGUUUUCUGUUCCAAUAUUAUUUUAUUCGAAAUCCCUUCAGAUACGUCGAAACACUUCCGUCGUUUAUUGUUAACGGAAAAACUGUCAAAAUAAAAAAAAAACCAGUAACCAAAUCAUCAUCCGAAAGAUACGAAAAUCGAAUUUUUUCUUAUUUAUAUUCUCUCUAUAAUUUCAACACGGAAA
rnacentral:lncRNA from 1 species